rnacentral:lncRNA from 1 species
AUUGUUAGAAAGGUUGGACCAUGAAUAUCACUCCUGAUCCAUAGAACAUGAUACACAAAAAUGGCAAAAUUUAAAUGUCUCAGGAAUAAGUUCUGCUAUCAUGAAAAAGUUCAGGGCCGCCCUAAUAUAGAAUAGAAAGAGUGUGAACCGGUCCGCCAACUCGAAUUUAUAUAGUCUUAACUAUUAUUAGCAUAGCCUUUAGUAGACCAGAGGAAUUCAUUGCUUGUGUAUGAAUGAAUCAAUGUAUUUCAUGCAUCAGGAUUGAGAUGUAUGUACUGUGUUAUGUUAUAGAUCUUCCCUAAGCAGCUCUGUGGCUUUGUCAGUUGAAGGUGCAGACAAGUUAUAUAUGACCCAUGUCUUUAAUCUCAAAGUUUUGCUAAAAGACUGUAACUAUUCGUAUUGGUCUGUUACAUGGCUUUCUAUAUUCUGGAUUUUUUUUUUUCUUUUUGUGUACUUCAUUCUGUAUUUUUUCAUGUGUAAUGAAGUCCUGGAGUUCUUUUAUAUUUAUUUUUCUGUUGUAACCAGACAUGGUAAUUGAAAGAUGACUAC